UCCAGAAUAUUGGUAAACAAACAAAUUUACCUGGUAGCGAAGCUGUCACCUUUGCCAGUUAUAAAUUACACACACCUACAGUACCAUGUUACCUGUGUAUGGGAAACAGCAGAUGCAGAGGAAGGCCAACAAAGAUGCUUUAGAGAAACUGUCAAAAGUUCACCCACUUCCUUCACUCAUCCUGCAUUGGCCCAAGAUAAACUCAUCUCUUAUCAAGAAGUGAAGAACAAGGGACAGACUGAUGACAGAGGCUACAUCACCACCACCACCAGAUGACAGAGGCUACAUCACCACCACCACCAGAUGACAGAAGGCUAUAUCACCACCACCAGGUUCUGUCACUUCUCCAUUGGCCUUCAAGUACAUCAGCUGUCACAGGUGAUUGGUGUACCAGAUGUGAAAGCAAGAUGACCUCAGUGACUGUUCUCUACUGUACUGUCAACCAUCCCACAACCCACACCAUGACUUCCACCUUUUUAAGCACAAAUUUAUUUAUACAAUUAAGAAAAUAUUUGAAAGUACAGUUAAGUAAUAUUUAAGAAUGUAUAAGUAAGCCUCGAGUCAAGCCACAUAGAUUAAAAUAAGGUAUACUCUAUAUAGUGUAAUGGUUGGCACUUGUAUCGAUUAGGAACAUACUGUUGGCUCUCAUUAUACAAUAUAUGUUCAUAAUCAAAUACACUGAAUAAAUUUGACAUUUUUUAUACUCCGAUUCUGGAAAAGUAGAAUAAUAAUGAUCUUGUAAGCUGAACUUGAAACCUGAAGGCGAGGUGUAAAGUAUAUGGAUCCUGUGAUGCCAACAUGAUAGCCUAUGUAUACUUAUCAAUCACUAAUUGACAUCCGAGUGCCCGCCUAUGUAGAACUGCUACAAACUAAUGCCCAUGUAGAGAUGUAUUGGGUAUGUAAAAUCAAAACUAAAAGGAUGACCAUAGGACUGUACCUUCAGAUGGCAUUGUAAUAUCUCCUUUCAGUGUAGUUAAGUCUUUGACUCUGUAUGCAUACUAUUAUUUUGAAAGUAAUAUAUACAUAGUACGUGAAGUAGAAUACAGUAGGGACUUUAAUUACGGAAUGUUGACAAUCUGGACACUGCACACCAGUUGUUGAAUGGAAGUUCGUUUUGCCUAUAAUUUAGAAAAGAAAUCCUUGUAAAAUUAUAAUUCAAAUUAUAAAUGUACUAUUAUGUACAACCUAUAAAUUAACUUUGUUAUGCAAAAAAGCUUAAGACUUUGAAAUCCAAUGGUCAUGUUUAAAGUUGUAACGUUUUGAAAUGAAAUAAUUUGAUAUCAGACCGAAAUACAGUAGGUGUUGGUGGUAGUGUGUGUAUCUUGCAAAGCUGUCCUGGGGCCCAAACUCCAGCCUGGGACAGAUGUGAGAAGGGUGUUGAACGUUGUAAACCUAGCAAAUAUCGCACCCACACCUGCCCAAAAGGUUAGUAUCUUGAAAAGUGGUGGAAGUGAUGAAUGCAGUUCUAAACAGAUUUGGUCACUUGAAUAAAUUUAGAAAUACCCCUGUACUGUACCAGGUCAAAAUUAUUAACAAAGUCAAGACUUCCAUUACUGGAUCAAACUAAAUCUCGUGUAUGACCAAAACCUGACAUAAGAGAGAGAGAGACUCAUUAAUGUCUAGUGUAAUAAACUAACCUUAAGUGGAGUCCAUUAAAAAUGUUGAAGUAGGAAAUACUGGAUAGAUUGUGAAAUCGUGAAGACGCCUCCAUCACAACGUAUCUGCCGAGAAGAAAUGAGCACAUUACCACAAUACUAGCAUUAUCUAGAUGCAAGAAAAAUGUUAUCUAGUGUGAUGUUCACAACCAUUGCAAGUUCUGGUUUCCUCCUACAUACACUAAUACUAUACAUAAUGAAGGUUUAAAUUGAUACCAGAACUACUUGAAUGUCUAGUAAACUGUUAAGUACCUAGACAGCACGGGUAUAACCCAAAGAAGAAUAAGGCAAGUUGACACGUUCUUUAGUAAUCUGUAUCAAACUUCUGGACUAUUAUCAAACUAACAUAAGCAGAGUAUGUAGUGUAUAAUAAAAAUAAACUAUAAAAUUCC